rnacentral:SRP_RNA from 1 species
GCUUGGCAUGGUCAAACAUGACUAGUUCCAGCUACUUGGGAGGCUGAGGUGAGAGGAUCUGGGCUGCAGCGCACUAUGCGAGUCAGAUGUCCACACUAAGUUUGGCUUCAGUGUGGUGGCUUCCUAGGAUUAAGAGAUCACCAGGUUUCCUAAGGAAGGGUGAACCAGCUCAGGUUGGAAAUGACGCAUGUCAAAAUUUUGGUGCUAAUCAGUAGUGGAUCACACCUGUGAAAAGUCACUGUACUCCAGCCUGUGUGACAGAGUAAGACUACAUUUCU